rnacentral:rRNA from 1 species
UACGUAGGGCGCAAGCGUUGUCCGGAAUUAUUGGGCGUAAAGAGCUCGUAGGCGGUUUGUCGCGUCUGCUGUGAAAACUCGAGGCUCAACCUCGGGCUUGCAGUGGGUACGGGCAGACUAGAGUGCGGUAGGGGUGACUGGAAUUCCUGGUGUAGCGGUGAAAUGCGUAGAUAUCAGGAGGAACACCGGUGGCGAAGGCGGCCCUCUGGACGGUGACUGACGCUGAGACGCGAAAGCGUGGGGAGCAAACAGG